UGGGGAAUUUUGGGCAAUGGGCGAAAGCCUGACCCAGCAACGCCGCGUGAAGGAUGAAGUAUUUCGGUAUGUAAACUUCGUAAGAAUAGGAAGAAUAAAUGACGGUACUAUUUGUAAGGUCUGGCUAACUACGUGCCAGCAGCCGCGGUAAUACGUAGGGACCAAGCGUUGUUCGGAUUUACUGGGCGUAAAGGGCGCGUAGGCGGCGUGGUAAGUCAUCUGUGAAAUCUCCGAGCUUAACUCGGAACGGUCAGAUGAUACUGCUGUGCUAGAGUACAGAAAGGGCAAUCGGAAUUCUUGGUGUAGCGGUGAAAUGCGUAGAUAUCAAGAGGAACACCUGAGGCGAAGGCGGGUUGCUAGGCUGAUACUGACGCUGAGGCGCGAAAGCUAGGGUAGCAAACGGGAUUAGAUACCCAUGUAGUCCCUGAGCGGGCUGGCAAGGCGCAU
rnacentral:rRNA from 1 species